CGCGGGGUAGAGCAGUUGGUAGCUCGUCGGGCUCAUAACCCGGAGGUCGUAGGUUCAAGUCCUUCCCCCGCAACCA
rnacentral:tRNA from 3 species